AUGGAACGCAAAGGGAACCCAGGUGUGUCUGAUUCCCCGGCCUGGGGCUCCCGCCCUCGUGGAGAUAGAGAUCCUUCUAAGCCGGGUCCACACCAAGCAGAGCUGGGCCUGGAGACUUUGCUAAGAAUGAGUCCUGAAGAUGGAGCCCGGCCUCCCGGGGACAAGCGGUGGAAAGAUCAGCCCCAGGGCCCCCCAAAUCGAAGCUAAAGACUUUUCCAGUGGACUCACCUACAUUUCAUUGACCAGACUGCAUUAUACAUCACCCUCAGUAGUAAGGCAACUGGGAAAUGGAGAACUGUGUCUUUACACUGGGAAAACAACAAGAGAAGGUAAUUUAAAAUGAAUACUCAUAAGCUACUGAAUGAUAUCUGUCAUAAUUACUUCUUUGGCUCUUCAGAACCCAAGAGUUCCUAUUCUUUUGCAUAUCCUCACACACACCCCCCACCCCGCAACCCACCCAUCACUAAGGAAGAAAAC
rnacentral:lncRNA from 1 species